UUGACCCGUCUGAAACACGGACCAAGGAGUCUAACAUGUGUGCGAGCCAUUGGGCGAACUAAACCCAAGGGCGUAGUGAAAGCGAAGGACACGUUGGUGUCUUAGGGACGAUCCCCCUCGGGGGCGCAGUCUCGGCGCUUUGCAUCGACCUCGCAUCGUGCAGAGCAGCAAGAGCAUACACGUUGGGACCCGAAAGAUGGUGAACUAUGCCUGGCCAGGUUGAAGUCAGGGGAAACCCUGAUGGAGGACCGUAGCGAUUCUGACGUGCAAAUCGAUCGUCGGAGCUGGGUAUAGGGGCGAAAGACUAAUCGAACCAUCUAGUAGCUGGUUCCUUCCGAAGUUUCCCUCAGGAUAGCUGGCGCUCAUUUAACGAGUUUCAUCCGGUAAAGCGAAUGAUUAGAAGUCUUGGGGACGAAACGUCCUCAACUUAUUCUCAAACUUUAAAUGGGUGAGAAGCGAGGCUUGCUUAAGUGAAGCCUCGCAACGAAUCGGAGUGCCAAGUGGGCCAUUUUUGGUAAGCAGAACUGCGACUGUGGGAA
rnacentral:rRNA from 1 species